rnacentral:rRNA from 1 species
GGAACGAACGCUGGCGGCAUGCCUAAUACAUGCAAGUCGAACGAACUCUUCGGAGUUAGUGGCGCACGGGUGCGUAACGCGUGGGAAUCUGCCCUUGGGUUCGGAAUAACAGUUGGAAACGACUGCUAAUACCGGAUGACUGACGAAAGUCCGAAGAUUUAUCGCCCAGGGAUGAGCCCGCGUAGGAUUAGCUAGUUGGUGAGGUAAAGGCUCACCAAGGCGACGAUCCUUAGCUGGUCUGAGAGGAUGAUCAGCCACACGUGGGACUGAGACACGGCCCAGACU